AACGAACGCUGGCGGCAUGCCUAACACAUGCAAGUCGAACGAGACCUUCGGGUCUAGUGGCGCACUGGUGCGUAACGCGUGGGAACCUGCCCUUAGGUUCGGAAUAACUCCCCGAAAGGGGUGCUAAUACCGGAUAAUGUCUUCGGACCAAAGAUUUAUCGCCUUUGGAUGGGCCCGCGUUGGAUUAGCUAGUUGGUAGGGUAAAAGCCUACCAAGGCUACGAUCCAUAGCUGGUCUGAGAGGAUGAUCAGCCACACUGGGACUGAGACACGGCCCAGACUACUACGGGAGGCAGCAGUGGGGAAUAUUGGAAAAUGGGCGAAAGAAUGAUCAAGCAAUGCCGCGUGAGUGAUGAAGGCCUUAGGGUUGUAAAGCUCUUUUACCCGGGAUGAUAAUGACAGUACCGGGAGAAUAAGCGCCGGCUAACUCCGUG
rnacentral:rRNA from 1 species